AACGAACGCUGGCGGCAGGCCUAACACAUGCAAGUCGAACGAGAUCUUCGGAUCUAGUGGCGGACGGGUGAGUAACGCGUGGGAACGUGCCCUUCUCUACGGAAUAGUCCUGGGAAACUGGGUUUAAUACCGUAUACGCCCUUCGGGGGAAAGAAUUUCGGGGAAGGAGUCCGGCCCGUCGUUGGUAGUUAGGUAGUUGGGUAGGGUAAGUCGGCCUAACCGAACGCCGACGACUCCAUAGCGUUGGUUUGAGAGGAUGAUCACGCCACACGUGGGACUGAGAC
rnacentral:rRNA from 1 species